CCUACGGGUGGCAGCAGUGGGGAAUAUUGGGCAAUGGGCGCAAGCCUGACCCAGCAACGCCGCGUGAAGGAAGAAGGCUUUCUGGUUGUAAACUUCUUUUUACAGGGGAGUGCAGAAGCCGUUACCUGUCGAAUAACCCACGGCUAACUACGUGCCAGCAGCCGCGGUCAUACGUAGGUGGCAAGCGUUGUCCGGAUUUCCUGGGUGUAAAGGGCGUGUAGCCGGGCUGACAAGUCAGUUGUGAAAGCCUGCGGCUAAACCCCCGAACUGCAGUUGAAACUGGUGGUCUUGAGUAUCGGAGAGGCAGGCGGAAUUCGUAGUGUAGCGGUGAAAUGCGUAGAUAUUAGGAGGAACACCAGUGGCGAAGGCGGCCUGCUGGACGACAACUGACGGUGAGGCGCGAAAGCGUGGGGAGCAAACAGGAUUAGAUACCCGGGUAGUC
rnacentral:rRNA from 1 species